rnacentral:rRNA from 1 species
UACGGGGGGGGCAAGCGUUGUUCGGAAUUACUGGGCGUAAAGGGCUCGUAGGCGGCCAACUAAGUCGGACGUGAAAUCCCCAGGCUCAACCUGGGAACUGCGUCUGAUACUGGAUGGCUUGAAUCCGGGAGAGGGAUGCAGAAUUCCAGGUGUAGCGGUGAAAUGCGUAGAGAUCAGGAAGAACAUCCGUGGCGCAAGCGCCUAUCUGGCCAUGACCUGACGCUGAGGCACGAAAGCGUGGGGAGCGAACCGG